CCAUCGUCUUCAUCUUCUUCUUUGUCCAUCCAUCUUCGCCACCUCAAGCCACCAACAACACGGCCGUGGACUCGUCUUUAUUCUUCUACCUUUCAUCCCAAAAUCCAAUCAAACCAAAAAAACAUCUUCCCACCGUCGACCAUCGCAGCAUCAAUCGCCACCCUCGCCUACUUAAACCCAUUUCCAAAAUUCCAAGUUUUCCUUGCCCAAAAUCCACUUCCCCACACAACGAAUAAAAAUCAUAUGAACAUGUUCAAAGAAAUGGAUACCAAAAAUGAUUGCAUUAACAACGUAGCAUAACCUUAGAAAUAGUAGUCUUCUUUUCCCCUUUUUCCCCUUUUGGCAGCAAUCUGCUUCGCAUCCAUUUUGUUCCCCUUUAGGCAACAAUCUAUUUCACAUCCAUUUUUCCCUCUUAUGCCAAUACAAAGUGGAGAAUCCACACAUUCACAGAUGAAGGUGACUGGCGCAGUGUGAUUGCUUGGCGGUUAUGGUGCCACAUGUCCCACGCAACCUCUUCUACUACUCCAAUGUUCUGAGUAGAGGGUCUUUAACUACUCGCGGGUAAUUUCAUGGGGGUUAACACUCCAAUAUAGCUGUAGAGUGCUCAUAGGGGUCGACGAUCUAGCGUAGGCAUAGAGUACUCAUGGGGGUCGACGACUUGGCAUGGACGUAAAGUGCUCAUGGGGUCGAGGACAUCAUAGUGGUUGACAACCUGACAUAAAAUGCAAAGUGCCUAUUGAAUAGCCUUCACCUUGUUGGUCACCAUAGACGACUAUCAAUGCUAUUUAAUAUCAAGGGGUUUUGCUUCUAGUUUAAAUUCAUCUACAUAUAAGGGAUUGUUAUGGGUUUUGUCUUAUAUAGUAGUGGUGGCAGUUUGCAAUGGUGAUUUGAUGUGGUAGUGUUGGUGAUUGGUGCGGCGAUGGCAGUUUGAUAUAGUGGUGGCAUUGGGAAGGUGUCUUUCUUCUUUGAGUAUGGGAGUGGGGGAGGAGAAUGUUCAGUUUAUUUUCCUUCUCUCUCUUUUAAUUUUUGAUUUUAAUAUUUUCAUAGUUUAUAAUAGGGAAAUGCAAAGUCA